AACGUACGCUGGCGGCACGCCUAACACAUGCAAGUCGAGCGAGGUAGCAAUACCUAGCGGCAGACGGGUGCGUAACAUGUGGGAAUCUGCCUUUUGGUUCGGAACAACACGGGGAAACCUGUGCUAAUACCGGAUAAGUCCUUACGGAGAAAGUUUUAAUGCCAAAAGAUGAGCCCGCAUUUGAUUAGCUAGUUGGUGAGGUAAAAGCUCACCAAGGCGAUAAUCAAUAGCUGAUUUGAGAGGAUGAUCAGCCACACUGGGACUGAGAUACGGCCCAGACUCCUACGGGAGGCAGCAGUGGGGAAUCUUGCACAAUGGGCGAAAGCCUGAUGCAGCGAUGCCGCGUGAGUGAAGAAGGCCUUUGGGUUGUAAAGCUCUUUUGUCGGGAAAGAUAAUGACUGUACCCGAAGAAUAAGGUCCGGCUAACUUCGU
rnacentral:rRNA from 1 species